rnacentral:lncRNA from 1 species
CUUAAACAAAUCCAAAUGAAUCCUAAUCCCUACUUAGACUUUUUUAAUAACAAUUGAACCAACCAUUCACCAUUUUCUUCUCUUAUGCCUUUAAGGCCUCUUUCUUUUCUUCAAAACCAUUUUCCAACAAAAAUUAAAAUCAACCAAACACACAAAAAAUAUUUUUUGAGAGAGAACUACAUGGAUUUGAUCCCUUAAAUGGGUAUGUAGGCAUGAGGUCAAAACCUCUCCAAGUCCACUAAAAUAAAACCUCAAACACUUUCUCCCUCCCAUUCUUAACAUAAGUAAAUUUCCUUUUUCAUAAGUAGCAUUAAAAAUAAAGCGUAGACAUAAACUAAGAAAACGGCUCCUAUAGAGUACUAUAGUCACCGCGGGUGCCUAACACCUUCCCGUAGUGAAAACGACCCCCGAACUUCGAAUCUAAGGGUUUUUUCUCAAUUUUGCCCUUCCCAAGAAAAAAUAGAGAAUAUCAAAGAUUGAAAGGUUCAAGCCUAAUUU